GCGAGGGAUGAAAAGGCCUUUAAGGAAUUCUCUUGAAACAGAUGAGGAAGAUAUGGGGGAUGUCCAAAGUAUCCUGGAAAGAUUUAAAGCUGAUAUUAGCAAGAUUGUUUGUGCAAAGAGAAAAAGACUGCAAGUGGACACUAAAGCUUUACUCCAAGUGACUACC